rnacentral:misc_RNA from 1 species
UGGUUCUGGCAUCGAUGAAGAACGCAGCGAAAUGCGAUAAGUAAUGUGAAUUGCAGAAUUCAGUGAAUCAUCGAAUCUUUGAACGCACAUUGCGCCCAUUAGUAUUCUAUUGGGCAUGCCUGUUCGAGCGUCAUUAAGUCCAUUAAGCCUAGCUUAGCGUUGGGAAUCUACUGUACGGGCGGCGUUACCCUGUAGCGCCUACCCUGUAGUUCCUGAAAAUCAACGGCGGAUUUACAGUGUCCUCUGAGCGUAGUAAUUAUUCUCGCUUCUGUUAGGUGCUGUGGCUCUUGCCGCUAAUCCCCCCCAAUUUCUUAGGUUUGACCUCGGAUCAGGUAGGAAUACCCGCUGA